GAUGAACGCUAGCGGCAGGCCUAAUACAUGCAAGACGAACGGUAAGUUGAGUAGCAAUACUUAGCCAAGAGUGUCGUACGGGUGCGUAACACGUAUGCAACCUACCCUAUACAGGAGGAUAGCCUAGGGAAACCUGGAUUAACCCUUCAUAGUAUUAUUGGAUGGCAUCAUUUGAUAAUUAAAACUGAGGUGGUAUAGGAUGGGCAUGCGUCUGAUUAGUUAGUUGGCGGGGUAAUGGCCCACCAAGACGAUGAUCAGUAGGGGUUCUGAGAGGAAGAUCCCCCACACUGGCACUGAGAUACGGGCCAGACUCCUACGGGAGGCAGCAGUAGGGAAUAUUGGUCAAUGGAUGCAAGUCUGAACCAGCCAUGCCGCGUGCAGGAAGAAGGCCUUCUGGGUUGUAAACUGCUUUUGCCAGGGGAUAAAAUUUCCAUGCGUGGAAAACUGAAGGUACCUGGUGAAUAAGCCAC
rnacentral:rRNA from 1 species